rnacentral:rRNA from 1 species
UACAGAGGGGGCAAGCGUUGUUCGGAAUUACUGGGCGUAAAGGGCGCGUAGGCGGCCUUCUAAGUCGAACGUGAAAUCCCCGGGCUCAACCCGGGAACUGCGUCCGAUACUGGAAGGCUUGAAUCCGGGAGAGGGAUGCGGAAUUCCAGGUGUAGCGGUGAAAUGCGUAGAUAUCUGGAGGAACACCGGUGGCGAAGGCGGCCCGCUGGACCCCAUCUGACGCUGAGGCGCGAAAGCCAGGGGAGCGAACGGG